UACGAAGGGGGCUAGCGUUGCUCGGAAUCACUGGGCGUAAAGCGCACGUAGGCGGAUUGCUAAGUCAGGGGUGAAAUCCUGGAGCUCAACUCCAGAACUGCCCUUGAUACUGGCGCCUCGAGUCCGGGAGAGGUGAGUGGAACUGCGAGUGUAGAGGUGAAAUUCGUAGAUAUUCGCAAGAACACCAGUGGCGAAGGCGGGUCUCUGGGCCGUAACUGACGCUGAGGAGCGAAAGCGUGGGGAGCGAACAGG
rnacentral:rRNA from 1 species